rnacentral:snRNA from 11 species
AGCUUUGCGUGGUGUCGCUAUCAUAGCCAAUGAGGUUUAUCCGAGGCAUGAUUAUUGCUAAUUGAAACUUUAGAAAAAAAGAAGGCUUGGAGACUAUCUGGAGUGACGAAGCCAGAGGGGAACUCUGAAGCCACUAACCAGGCAGAGCAAGUGCUACUCAGCAGAAGCUCAUUGUGCUAAAUUGGGUAUCUAGGCCUAAAUUAUGAAUCACUGCUCAAGA